rnacentral:rRNA from 1 species
UACGGAGGGUGCAAACGUUGCUCGGAAUCACUGGGCGUAAAGCGCACGUAGGCGGCGCGAUAAGUCGGAUGUGAAAGCCCUGGGCUCAACCUAGGAAGUGCAUUCGAAACUGACGCGCUUGAGUACGGGAGAGGGUUGCGGAAUUCCCGGUGUAGAGGUGAAAUUCGUAGAUAUCGGGAGGAACACCAGCGGCGAAGGCGACCACCUGGACGGAUACUGACGCUGAGACGCGAAAGCGUGGGGAGCAAAC